rnacentral:lncRNA from 1 species
UGGGGUCAAAACUAUAAUUUGGCAUUAAAAUUAGAAAGAUCAUAUCAUGGGGAACAUGUGUACUAAGUUUCAAGUGGAUUGGACUUCAACUUCAUCAAAAACUACCUUGACCAAAAACUUUAACCUGAAGUCGGACGAACGAACGGACGAACGAACGAACGAACGGAGGCACAGACCAGAAAACAUAAUGCCCCUCUACUAUCGUAGGUGGGACAUAACAAGUCAA